rnacentral:rRNA from 1 species
UGUGGAAAAAAAAAAAUGUAACAAGGUUUCCGUAGGUGAACCUGCGGAAGGAUCAUUACAGUAUUCUUUUUGCCAGCGCUUAAUUGCGCGGCGAAAAAACCUUACACACAGUGUUUUUUGUUAUUACAAGAACUUUUGCUUUGGUCUGGACUAGAAAUAGUUUGGGCCAGAGGUUUACUGAACUAAACUUCAAUAUUUAUAUUGAAUUGUUAUUUAUUUAAUUGUCAAUUUGUUGAUUAAAUUCAAAAAAUCUUCAAAACUUUCAACAACGGAUCUCUUGGUUCUCGCAUCGAUGAAGAACGCAGCGAAAUGCGAUAAGUAAUAUGAAUUGCAGAUUUUCGUGAAUCAUCGAAUCUUUGAACGCACAUUGCGCCCUCUGGUAUUCCAGAGGGCAUGCCUGUUUGAGCGUCAUUUCUCUCUCAAACCUUCGGGUUUGGUAUUGAGUGAUACUCUUAGUCGAACUAGGCGUUUGCUUGAAAUGUAUUGGCAUGAGUGGUACUGGAUAGUGCUAUAUGACUUUCAAUGUAUUAGGUUUAUCCAACUCGUUGAAUAGUUUAAUGGUAUAUUUCUCGGUAUUCUAGGCUCGGCCUUACAAUAUAACAAACAAGUUUGACCUCAAAUCAGGUAGGAUUACCCGCUGAACUUAAGCAUAUCAAUUUUCGGAAGGAA